AGCGAACGCUGGCGGCAGGCUUAACACAUGCAAGUCGAACGGUCCUUCGGGAUAGUGGCGGACGGGUGAGUAACACGUGGGAACGUGCCUUUAGGUUCGGAACAACACAGGGAAACUUGUGCUAAUACCGGAUGUGCCCUUCGGGGGAAAGAUUUUUCGCCUUUAGAGCGGCCCGCGUCUGAUUAGCUUGUUGGUGAGGUAAUGGCUCACCAAGGCUACGAUCAGUAGCGGGUCUGAGAGGAUGACCAGCCACAUUGGGACUGAGACACGGCCCAAACUCCUGCGGGAGGCAGCAGUGGGGAAUCUUGCGCAAUGGGCGAAAGCCUGACGCAGCCAUGCCGCGUGAAUGAUGAAGGUCUUAGGAUUGUAAAAUUCUUUCACCGGGGACGAUAAUGACGGUACCCGGAGAAGAAGCCCCGGCUAACUUCGUGCCAGCCGCCGCGGUAA
rnacentral:rRNA from 1 species